GAACAAGGUUUCCGUAGGUGAACCUGCGGAAGGAUCAUUACCGUGCCUGUAGUUGUUGGCGGGCUCCCUCGGGGGUUCGUUCAGCGCUACAUCCGGCCCAACCGUGUCUAUUUCUACCUGUUGCUUCGGCGGACCUGCGGGCUUGCUCGCUGCCGGAAGCCCCUAAGGCUUCGGGCUCGUGUCCGCCGAAGACGCCUAGAACUACUGUUGAACUUGGCGGUCUGAGUAAACUUGAUUAAUUAUCAAAACUUUCAACAACGGAUCUCUUGGUUCCAGCAUCGAUGAAGAACGCAGCGAAAUGCGAUAAGUAAUGUGAAUUGCAGAAUUCCGUGAAUCAUCGAAUCUUUGAACGCACAUUGCGCCUUUUGGUAUUCCGAAAGGCAUGCCUGUCCGAGCGUCAUUGCAACCCCUUCAAGCUCAGCUUGUGUGUUGGGCGGUCGUCCUCGCUGGACGCGCCCCAAAGGCAGUGGCAGCUCCGUGCAUCGGUGCCCGAGCGUAUGGGCUUUAGUUAACCCGCUCUAGUGGCCCGGCCGGCGCUGGCCCCCUAAGUCUUAACUGGACUCCGGUUAAGGUCUUAACUCAAUCUUCGUGGUUGACCUCGGAUCAGGUAGGGAUACCCGCUGAACUUAAGCAUAUCAAUAAGC
rnacentral:sRNA from 2 species